rnacentral:rRNA from 1 species
UUGGACCUGAUAUUCAGC